rnacentral:lncRNA from 1 species
GGCCUGGCAUUUUGUGUCAGUGUUUUUUAACCUUUGGACCCUAGUUCAACCGACUCCGAGACCUAGGGGACAGAUCUUAAGUUUUACAAUAACCCAGGGGUCAGACAGGGUCUGAUCUAGCCUGUGGGGCAAGUACGGGGAAGACACGGGACCUCUUGGAGGGGGUCAGUAGGCUUGUAGGGGGAAAGACGCACACAGAGACUAAAGGACGAGAUGGAGCAAGGUUCAACCCCCUAGCUGAGUGUUGGCAGUGUCGGGAUUUUAACGAAGACAUUGGUGCUUAUUAUGGUGAGGGGACUCAGGACAGUUUAGGGGAAGAGAGUGGCAUUUGAGUCCUAACUCGUAAGGAAGACUGGGUAGGACUACUUGAAAAUAACUUUUAAAAAUUAAUUAUAAAGCUGGUAAAAAUAGGAAAACAUCUAUGGCCCCACUGUCCAAAGACGACUUUUAACUUCUUGGAGAAUAUCCUUUCAGAUAGUUGUCUUUGUAAAUGUAUACUUUUAAUGUUUUUUCGUUUGCCUUUUUAAAAUAAAUUUUUUGGGGGACAGGGUCUUGCUCUGUUACCCAGGCUGUAGUGCAGUAGAACGAUUAUAGCUCAUUGCAACCCGGACGUCCUGGGUUCAAGCUAUCCUCACCUCUCAGCCUCUCGACUGGCUAGGACCACAGCCUCGAGCCAUCAUGUCUGGCUAAUUUUUACGUUUUUUUGUAGAGAUGGGGGUCUCGCUGUGUUGUCCAGGCUGGUCUUAAACUCCUUGCUUCAACAGAUCCUCCCACUCCAGCCUCCCAAAAUGUGAUUACAGGCUGAGUCACCACGCCUAGCAUGGUUUUUUUUGUUUUGUUUGUUUUGUAAGCAAAAUUGACAUACAUACUGGAGGUACAAUUCUGUAGCUGGCCUUCUUUACAGAGUUUAGAAUAAAUGUCUUUCCAUGUCAAGUUUUCACUUACAUCCUUUGUAGUAGUUGCAAAAUAUUCCAUUUUAUAGCUGUAUCUUAAUUGUGGAUUAAGGUUGGAGUGCAGUGGCACUAUCAUGGCUUAGUCCAGCCUCAGCCUUCUAGGUUCAAGCGAUCUUCCCACCUCAGCCUCCCAAGAAGCUGGGACUACAGGGACCCGCCACCCCACCUAGCUAAUUAAAAAAAAAAUUGUAGAGAUGGAGUCUCAGUGUGUAGCCCAGUCUCAAGUGACCCUCCCUCGUUGGCUUCCCAAAGCGCUGAGAUUGCAGGUGAGCCACUGUACUUGGACUUUUUUUUUUUUUUUUGCUUUUGUUUGUUUUUUGUUUUAGCUAUUACAAUGCUGGUUGAAUAUCCUCAUAGCUAAAUAUCUGUGCAGUUUUAAAAUUUCCUUAUAAGUUACUAGAAAUGGAAUGACUGGGUUAAAGGACAUGAUCAUUUUUUAAGACUCUUGAUACAUACUUACAAAUUGCCUCCCGAAAAAGUGGUGCUAAUUUACUCAAAUUGGUAAGCCUCACCCCCUCUGUGGAUCAUUCCUUGCACUAAGUUUCUUCCAACUCUGUCACCUCCAGCUUUUUACUCACAGCCUACCUUCCAAUCUGGGGCCCAGCUCCCAGAUCGGAAGAUACCAGACUUUGGU